AGAUUUGCCCUUGCAGUCAUUGCUCAAAAGUGCCUCCCCCACUCCCUGACAUAUCAGAGGUGCCAGACAUGAAAUUUUCAGGCUGUCCUGACUUGGUGUUUUAGAUGAGAAAAAUAUCUACAUGACCAGGCACUGCCACAGAAAUUCUGAUCCACUUGUUCUUAAAGUGAAUGAAGAGCAUCUCCAAAUUAAGAGCUCACCAUCUGUGCUGAUUGAUGGAUCUGAAGGCAGUAACAACAAUUGAAAGCCAGCAAGAAAUCUUCCAGCAGCUUCAAGUGUAAAAGGAGCAAAAGGGUAAACACAUAAAGUAAUGAACAGACAAGGAGCACUCCCAGCAAAAGAGGAUUUACAAAGUUUCAAACAAUGUUGAGUGUGAGUGGGCAGAUCAUGACAAAACGUUCACACUUCUUCAUCAAAUCUAACUAGUUUUCCACUACAUAUUCAUGCUAUAAACUGUGAACUGGAGUUCCUCUGUGGAAGAAUAAUCCAAAUGAAACAACAGGAAGAAAAGACAAUUGCUUUUGCAGCAUGGAUAUGUUUAAGUGGCAGUGGAAAAUAACUCCCCAGAGUCUCUUCUCAAGUCCAGACAACAAAGGUCUCAAAAUGGUAAGGAAGGUGGUAAGGAAGGUGUGUGAUCUGAUCAUCUUUAUGUGGCUUCUCUGUUAAACUAACAGUUUGGAAAGCUGGAAGAGAAAGAAGUGUUGGGCCACAUAUACCUUCAGAAAGAAAUAAAGGGCGAAAUUUAGCCAUGUGGUCUUCCUUCAGAUGCAUUACUCAGCUUAUCAACUACACUGCUGGGCACAAUAAUUCCUGAUGAGAAGAGCUGGCAUCCAAACAAGCAAUGUCACAAAAAAGCACUUGAGUCUGGAAACCUCAAGAUAGCCUGUAGUAUUUCCAUUUAG